rnacentral:rRNA from 1 species
CCUGAGAAACGGCUACCACAUCCAAGGAAGGCAGCAGGCACGCAAAUUACCCACUCCCGGCACGGGGAGGUAGUGACAAAAAAUAACGAUACGGGACUCUUUUGAGGCCCCGUAAUCGGAAUGAGUACACUUUAAAUCCUUUAACAAGGAUCCAUUGGAGGGCAAGUCUGGUGCCAGCAGCCGCGGUAAUUCCAGCUCCAAUAGCGUAUAUUAAAGUUGUUGCGGUUAAAAAGCUCGUAGUUGGUUCUGCGUGCUACGCUGUCGGUUCGCCGCCUGCCGGUGUAACUGGCAUGCCGUGGCAUGUCCUGUCGGUGGCGUGCGGGAGCCUUGUCAGGUGACGACCCGAGCCAACACUCGGUGUGCGUAGGCCGGAGGUUCAACCCGUUCGCCUACUCUAUCCUACCUAGGUGCUCUUUACCGAGUGUCGAGGUAGGCCGACACGUUUACUUUGAACAAAUUAGAGUGCUCAAAGCAGGCUGAAAUCUCUGCCUGAAUAGUGGUGCAUGGAAUAAUAAAACAGGACCUUGGUUCUAUUUUGUUGGUUUUAAGAACACAAGGUAAUGAUCAACACGGACAGGCGGGGGCAUUCGUAUUGCGACGUUAGA